rnacentral:rRNA from 1 species
CCCUUAGAUGUCCUGGGCCGCACGCGCGCUACACUGGGUGUCUGAGAUACGAGUCUGCCUGGUCCGGCAAGGUCUAGGUAAUCGCUAAAAGACACAUCAUGCUUGGGAUAGAUUAUUGCAAAUAUUAAUCUUGAACGAGGAAUUCCUAGUAAGCGCAAGUCAACAGCUUGCGUUGAUUACGUCCCUGCCCUUUGUACACACCGCCCGUCGCUACUACUGAUUGGAUGUUUAAGCGAGGUUCUCGAACUGCUAGCGACUUAGCUUCGGUGAGGUCGCAGUGUGGGAAGUGAACCUAGCUUUGGUGUCUAGAGGAAGUAAAAGUCGUAACA